GGAGUCGCCGGAGUCGCCGUUCGCCGGAGUCCAUAAAUCCAGGUCUCCAGAAUUUCAAUAAUCAAAUAUUCAAGAUAAGUAGAUUGGCAGUAAGCAGUAUGGUUGUAUGGGCGUAUGGCUAUGACUUGUGAAUUUUGAAGACCAUGAAGUUCAUAUUGUUUGUUUAUUUAGUAUGUUUUGUGAAGACUAUGAAGUUCAUGCCCUUAUUUACUAAAAUUAAUAAAAGAAGCUGAGACUCCAAAUGAGACAGAGACGCUUCCCCAUUCAGCCUAAUUCAAUUCUGCGGAUUGAAGCUUCCGCCGACCGCUGACCACGACUGCCAACCACGACCAGCCCUGUCACAGCCGGCAGCCCACUCACCAGCGUUCAACAGCCACCGUAACAGCAGGUCAGGCAGCGUCUGAAAUUAGUGAUAACGCUGUCUU